UACAGAGGUCUCAAGCGUUGUUCGGAUUCAUUGGGCGUAAAGGGUGCGUAGGCGGCGCGGUAAGUCGGGUGUGAAAUCUUGGAGCUUAACUCCGAAACUGCAUUCGAUACUGCGGUGCUUGAGGACUGGAGAGGAGACUGGAAUUUACGGUGUAGCAGUGAAAUGCGUAGAGAUCGUAAGGAAGACCAGUGGCGAAGGCGGGUCUCGUGG
rnacentral:rRNA from 1 species